rnacentral:rRNA from 1 species
UACGUAGGGUGCAAGCGUUAAUCGGAAUUACUGGGCGUAAAGCGUGCGCAGGCGGUUUUGUAAGACAGGGGUGAAAUCCCCGGGCUUAACCUGGGAACUGCAUUUGUGACUGCAAGGCUGGAGUGCGGCAGAGGGGGAUGGAAUUCCGCGUGUAGCAGUGAAAUGCGUAGAUAUGCGGAGGAACACCGAUGGCGAAGGCAAUCCCCUGGGCCUGCACUGACGCUCAUGCACGAAAGCGUGGGGAGCAAACAGG